rnacentral:lncRNA from 1 species
AGAGCUACGGUGACACUUCGCGUGCGGUGUAGGCGCAUCUUCGCUCUGUUGGCCGUGGCUUUAGUAAGCACACACCUGCCUGCUACUCUGGUUAUCGUGGCGACGGCAGGUCUGGAUUGCCAGACAGGUUUUUCUUUUUACCUCGAGGCUUUCUCUGAAGGGAGUCGGAGCAUUUAAAAGGCGGCCUCAAGGUGGAUUGAGUCGGGGGAGGAUUAGCAGUAUUUGCUUAGGUUGUAAAACCGCGACUUUAUCUAAUAAAUCGCCAUUCAAGGUGCAAAUACAAACUUGGAACAGAGAUAAUCUGCCUCUGAAACCUUCCGUGGGCACAGAAAUUUCUGCAAGGAAAGCAUCAGCAACCAGAAUAAUUUGAUUGCAUUUGGGUUUAAACAGAGGACUUAAUCAUAGCAUGGACAGAAAAGGCUCACCAUCUAUCUAAAUGACUCUGAUUGCACCAUCAUCCUCAUUGUUCUUGUGGAGUCUCGCUCUGUCGCCCAGGCUGGGGUGGAGUGACGCGAUCUCGGCUCACCGCAAGCUCCGCCUCCCGGGUUCACGCCAUUCUCCUGUCUCAGCCUCCCCAGUAGCUGGGACUACAGGCGUCCACCACCACGCCCGGCUAAUUUUUUGUACUUUUAGUAGAGACGGGUUUCACCGUGUCAGCCAGGAUGGUCUCGAUCUCCUGACCUCGUGAUCUGCCCGCCUCAGCCUCCC